AGCAAGCAAAGAGUAGAGGAAGCAGUAGAUAUUAAACACAGAAAAUUUUCCUUGUUUGAAUAAGUUAGAAAAAUUGUUAGCCUAUUACACUUUAGUGUUCUAGAAAAAGUUUAAGAUGUAAAGCAAGAGUUUUUGGGAUUGACUGACUCCUGGCUUCGCUCCUGUUGUCAUUAAGUGGUGUCCGACUCUUCUGCAACCCCAUGGACUGUGCCCGCUAGGCUCCUCUGUCCAUGGGAUUUCCCAGGCAGGAAUACUGGGGUUAGUUGUUAUUCCUUUCUCUAGGGGAUGUUCCCCACCCAGGGAUCGAAUCCAUGUCUCCUGCACUGGCAAGCCGAUUAUUUACCACCGAGCCACCUGGGAAGCCUUCCCUACAGUCUCCUGUACUCACUGGCUACUUGUUCUUGGACAAAUCCUUUAAUAUGUUUCAAUUUCCUCAUUGGUUAACACUCUACAGAGUUUCUGGAAUGUGUUAUACGCUUGGCAAGUAUUAUCAGACUCUCAGUGAGCCGCAGUCUUUAUUACCUAGACGGUAACAUAACAGCAACGACCUCAACGUUUACUAAACAUUAGUUCAGUUCAGUCGCUCAGUAGUGUUCGACUCUUUGCGACCCCAUGGACUGCAGAACGCCAGGCUUCCCUGUCCAUCACCAAACUCCCCGAGCUUGCUCAGACUCAUGUCCAUCUAGUCGGUGAUGCCAUCCAGCCAUCUCACCCUCUGCCAUCUCCUUCUCCUCCCGCCUUCAAUUAGUAAAUAUCAGGAGCAAGUAAUGAGACCCCAGUUCUUCGAAUCAAGUCCAGUCCCACCGGGAUUCCUCCGAAAGACACCACAGAGGGUCGAUUCCCUUCGGAUGGAAGCGGAUGUAGUGUUUCUGGAAGGAACAUAGGAAGGCGGGAUUUCCGGCCCAACGGCUUCAGGGUCUACAGGACCGAGAAACCGAACCGGAACCGGUGGGAGAACUCCCGCCGGGGGGAGGGAGGUGUCCGGAAGCGCCGGGAGAGGGGACUACAUUUCCCACAAGCCCGCGGGGGUGGGCGGGGGGACGGCGAGGGGCGGGCGUCGGGGACCUUAACGGACAGGCCUUGCCCCCGCAGAAUCAAGGUAAAGGCUGGCACUGCGGCUCCAGGGGAAGAGUAGAUUUGGAAUAGUCACCCUCCUAACCCAUCCCGAACUGACAGAGGGACCUUGGCGACUUUGGGAUUUCCGGGCCGCCGGGCUCCAUUCCCCAGAACCCAAAGCAGCGCCUCCACUGUGGGCCUGGGACCGCUUCCUAGGUGCCUGACGAUACGGUUCGAUGCGCUAGGAAGGCGAAGGCCCGGGGUCUACCCCUUUCUAGGGCUGCCGCGCCUGUCCUCGUUCGCCCCUGACCCACGCCUUGUCUCCCGUUAGCGCGGGCUGGAGCGGCACCGUGCCCGGCUCCUUGGGGCUCGAAGUCGGGGGGGGGGGGUGAUGCCGGGGAAGGUGUUCUUCCUCCCCCCGCCCCGUCUAAGUAGCGGGCGACCUCCCCCUCUCCUUUGGUUGUUGCUCAGAUGUCCUUGUAUCGGGGCGGCUAAAGCUGUCGAAGGCCUGCGAGCCAAGCACUACUAAGCACCUCCACCCAACAUCCCUAAAUCCUUUCCUCUACCGGUGUUAGGAAGAUUGCCAUCGGGAGAGGCGAAGUGACUUGCCCCUAGGUCGGUCACAGAACUUUAAAUGGCAGAACUUAAGGUUCGCACCAAGCCUCUCUGGAUCUAAAGCACUUUGCUUAAACCCCAUCACCUUUCUCCAAACCUUAACCUAAGACGCUGGGGACCACAGUCA
ensembl:lncRNA